rnacentral:misc_RNA from 1 species
CCAAUAGCGUAUAUUAAAGUUGUUGCAGUUAAAAAGCUCGUAGUUGAAUUUCGGGAUUAGUACGCUGGUCGUGCCUUCGGUAUGUACUGGUGUUACUGGUUCCUACCUUCUGACGAACCGUCAUGUCAUUAAUUUGGUGUGGCGGGAAAUCAGGACUGUUACUUUGAAAAAAUUAGAGUGUUUAAAGCAGGCUCGCGCUUGAAUACAUUAGCAUGGAAUAAUGAAGUAGGACGUUCGAUCCUAUUUUGUUGGUUUCUAGGAUUGAAGUAAUGAUUAAUAGGGAUAGUUGGGGGCAUUAGUAUUCAAUUGUCAGAGGUGAAAUUCUUGGAUUUAUUGAAGACUAACUACUGCGAAAGCAUUUGCCAAGGAUGUUUUCAUUAAUCAAGAACGAAAGUUAGGGGAUCGAAGACGAUCAGAUACCGUCGUAGUCUUAACCAUAAACUAUGCCGACUAGGGAUCGGAUGAUGUUAUUUUUAAUGACUCAUUCGGCGCCUUACG